UGGACCUCACGCGGCCAGGGGCGCGGCACUUCAGGCUGGGAAGGGGAGACCACCGAAGCGCUGUCACGGCCCGUUCAGGUCUACUGGAUCCGUUCCGGUUUCAUGAUUUUGCCCGAUUUGUCGUAUUGUUCCGGUUUCUAAAUAAUUUUGUAAUAUAUCUCAAACUGUGUCGAAUGCUACAGGGUGGAAAGUGAUAUGUUUUUGUCAACAUAAUAUAUAUUUUGAAACAUUUAUUUUCUAACAAACUCGGUGCAGACGUGCUUCCUUCAUCGAAGCUGAGACUCGAUGCUGAGAAGCUAAGCUAGAUGGUACGUUUUGGUCGUGCAGCUCACAAAGCUUCAAUACGACCCAUCAAACAAUUCAUCUUCAACGCGUGCAUUUUAAGUGUUAAGUCCACUGUGGACUUUGGGCAUAUUUAUAUGUAAUUAUUUCACACCAUACUGCCAAUGGAAGGGGGCCGAGGAUCGCACUUCGGUGGCCUACUGAGAGUCUGAACCCUGGCAGACCGUCUGACCUUACGGCUCCCGUUCCUCUGCCCAGAACCAGAUCCCAAUCUAGAACCAGAUCCCAAUCUGGUUUAGAACCAGAACCAGGUCUGGUUCAGAACCAGAUCCCAAUCUGGUUCUGACCCGGUUCGCUUCGAGCACAGACACAUGAUCAUUUCUGACCCAGGAGUCAAGUUGUGUGAAACGGAUGGAAUAUUAGGAGGAAGAGGAGGAGAAGAUGAAGAAGAGACUGAUGUACUGUAUAUAGGAAUAACUAAUAUGAAGGAAUAUACUAAGUGAACAUGGGCACAGUGUGUCUUGAGUGUUGUGUGUGACAUUAUGACUGCUGGUGUGCAUGUUGGCGGGCACAAUUAUUUGUAAGGGUUUGUGUGUGGCUCUGUGUGUGUGUGUGUGUGUGUAUGUGUGUGUGGCUGUGUGUGUGUGUGUGUGUCUGUGAGAGUAUGUGUGUGCAUGUAUGAGGUGAAGGAAUCUGUUUGCGUGUGUUCUGAUACCUGUGCCACUGUUGAAAAACCACUUGAAGCCAGUUUAAAGGUGCAGUAGUAUUUGAUGUGUGUCAGACAGGAGUUGAAGCUAAACUAUAUAGAUAAGACUCCAGAUUCCCCGAAAAGCAAAAAUGAAACUGAAAAUUAAAGUUUUUUCUUUGUUUGAGAAAUCCCAAAUCUGCUGCUACCUCUAAUUGUAAUUUUAUGGUGACAUUGAAUCCAUGUCGACAUGAUCCUUUUGAAAUGACUUUUUUUUGUAAAGAUGAAAUGCCAAGCUCAAUCUGCAGUAUAUAAGUGCUAAAAAGUUCCUUUAAUUUGGUAGCUGACAUAUUUUGUACAUAUGUUAUGUACAGUUGUUAUAAAAAUGGAUAAGCUUUAUUGACAGUGUGACAAUAUUGAAACAUUUUUGUAUUCACAAUUUUAUGCUUUCAUUUCUCACACAGGUCACAUUUUGUAAGACCACUAGCAGUGUUGUUUUGAAAAGAAUAUUGUAAAACCCAUCAUAUGAUCGUCAUUGUUGUAGAUACAGUAAAAUCUGACCACUACAGACUAGAAAUGGUCCAAUGGCUGUACUAGAACUAACUUCGCAGCCUGCCGGUAAUGAUACCCAAAUGUUCAGCUCUCUAUGUAACAGCAGGACUCUGUACCAAUGGCACUUUUAUUCUAAGAACAGGGAAGCUAAGUACAAGGAAAGCACCUUGUGAAAUACAUGGGUGUCAUUGGCAGUGCAUAUUUCAAAAGGCAUAUAUCAAACAUGUUUGUAUUAUAAUCUGGUUAUUUAUAUAAGAUGUUAUGUGCUAGGCUUUGUGUUCUGCAUUAGGAUUCAUGAUGAAUAGCCUUAUAAUACUUAAUAAUAUAUGGUCUGC
ensembl:lncRNA